UGGAGGGCUGCGGGACUGUAGAGGGCAUGAGCUGAGGAGCUCGGGCAAGCUCAUGGUGCAAGGCCUCUG
ensembl:miRNA